rnacentral:rRNA from 1 species
UACGUAGGGUGCGAGCGUUAAUCGGAAUUACUGGGCGUAAAGCGUGCGCAGGCGGCGCGUUAAGACAGGUGUGAAAGCCCCGGGCUUAACUUGGGAAUUGCGCUUGUGACUGGCGAGCUGGAGUGUGGCAGAGGGAGGUGGAAUUCCACGUGUAGCAGUGAAAUGCGUAGAGAUGUGGAGGAACACCGAUGGCGAAGGCAGCCUCCUGGGCCAGCACUGACGCUCAUGCACGAAAGCGUGGGGAGCAAACAGG